UCCAGCUUAUCGCUGGCGGUCUCCUGAGAGUGCAUCCCUUGCGGGAUUAGCAACACAGGACGAGGGUUGCGCUCGUUGCGGGACUUAACCCAACAUCUCACGACACGAGCUGACGACAGCCAUGCAGCACCUCGACUGCGCGUCCCUUGCGGGAGGGCCAGUAUUUCUACCGGCUUGCGGCAGCCGUUCGAGCCCAGGUAAGGUUCUUCGCGUUGCGUCGAAUUAAACCACAUGCUCCACCGCUUGUGCGGGGCCCCGUCAAUUCCUUUGAGUUUUAGCCUUGCGGCCGUACUCCCCAGGCGGGGUGCUUAAUGCGUUAGCUUCGGCACGGACGGGGUCGAUAUCCGCCCACACCUAGCACCCAACGUUUACGGCUAGGACUAC
rnacentral:misc_RNA from 1 species